AAACAAGGUGAAAUUAGUUAACCUCUGUCGGUCGGCCUUCGUCAUUCCCAUCAUCAUUCUGGUCAUUCUUUAUUGCUGGAGGAAAAAGAAGCAUCAUACAGAAAACCUUGAUUCUGAACAGAGUCCAAACUGUGACCAAGCUGAUGCCAUCU